rnacentral:rRNA from 1 species
AGUGAACGCUGGCGGUAGGCCUAACACAUGCAAGUCGAGCGGCAGCACAGUAAGAGCUUGCUCUUACGGGUGUCGAGUGGCGGACGGGUGAGGAAUACAUCGGAAUCUACUUUUUCGUGGGGGAUAACGUAGGGAAACUUACGCUAAUACCGCAUACGACCUACGGGUGAAAGCAGGGGAUCUUCGGACCUUUCGCGAUUGAAUGAGCCGAUGUCGGAUUAGCUAGUUGGCGGGGUAAAGGCCCACCAAGGCGACGAUCCGUAGCUGGUCUGAGAGGAUGAUCAGCUAGACUGGAACUGAGACACGGCCCAGACUCCUACGGGAGGACGCAGUGGGGAAUAUUGGACAAUGGGGGAAAGCCUGAUCCAGCAAUACCGCGUGGGUGAAGAAGGACUUCUGGUUGUAAAGCCCUUUUGUUGGGAAAGAAAAGCAGCAGGUUAAUACCCCGCUGUUCUGACGGUACCCAAAGAAUAAGCACCGGCUAACUUCGUG